ensembl:lncRNA
AUCCUGGGGUGCAGAGGCAGCAAAAGGACAGGGCAGCUCACAUCAGUGUUACUGCCCCAUCUCCUUAACAUUCACUUGCCCAGCUUCUUCAUUGCUAUUUUAGCCUCUAGGGCAGUGGUUCACAGCUUUGGCUGCAUAUUGCAAUUUUCUGGGGUGUUUGAAAAUCAUGAUGCCUGGUCUCACCUCCAGGAAAUCAGACUUAACUGGCCUGGGGUGUGGCUGGGGCAUGAGGCUUGAACAAAUCCCAGGUGAUGCUGACUUGCAGGCAGUAUUGACAGCCAGGGCUGCAGGCAGCAGUUUUCAGAAUGUGAUCCCAGGACUGACGGACAGCAAAGCGGCACCAGGGAAAUGUGUGAGGAAUGCAAAGUCCUGGGCUUCACCCUAGACCUCCUGAGUGAGAAGCCCUGAAACUGGAUCCCAGCUAUGUGUGUUUUACCAAGCCUUCCAGGUGAUCUAAUGAUGUACACUCAACUUUGAGAAUCCCGGCUUAAAGAAAUGAAACUUCCAUUGGUAAGACUGAAAUCACUCUUCUCCCAUCUGCUGCCUCCCUGAGGGCUGCCAACCUCACCUGUUUUUCCUUGUUGUUUCCUCCCAGCAGAAAUUUAACUAAGCCAAAGACAGUCCUAUAGAGAACUUGCCAAGAGUCCAAAGAGAUAUACAAUUCAUCUUUUAUUUCCCAUCGUCUUCUAAUGAUUCAGUAGAGGACUAGAGGACUUUCUCAAAGAUAAGACAGGUAAACAAAUGGCACUUGGUGAAGUUGAACCACAGACUUUAAGGUUUUAAGUUCUUUAAACAAGUUUCCAUCCAUCUCACAUGUAUGGAUGUGAGAGUUGGACCAUAAAGAAGGCUGAGUGCCAAAGAAUUGAUGCUUUUGAACUUUGGUGUUAGAGAAGACUCUUGAGAGUCCCUUGGACUACAAGGAGGUCAAACCAGUCAAUCCUAAAGAAAAUCAAUCCUGAAUAUCCAUUGGAAGGACUAACGCUGAAGCUGAAGCUCCAAUACUUUGGCCACCUGAUGUGAAGAGUUGACUCAUUGGAAAAGACCCUGAUGCGUGGAAAGACUGAAGGGAAAGGAAGAGGGCAGCAUAGGAUGAGAUGGUUGGAUGGCAUCACCAACUCAAUGGACAUGAGUUUGAUUAAACUCCAGGAGCUGGUGAAGGACAGGAAAGCCUGGCAUGCUGCAGUCCCUCAGGUCACAAAGAGUUGGCCAUGACUGAGCGACUGAACAACAACAGGUAAGCAUUCUCCCAAAGCAAGUGUGGGCCAUUUGUCUGAAUCCUG